rnacentral:rRNA from 16 species
UUUUGACCUCGGAUCAGGUAGGGAUACCCGCUGAACUUAAGCAUAUC